ACUCCUACGGGAGGCAGCAGUGGGGAAUAUUGCACAAUGGGCGCAAGCCUGAUGCAGCCAUGCCGCGUGUGUGAAGAAGGCCUCGGUUGUAAAGCACUUUCAGUUGUGAGGAAGGUGGUGUCGUUAAUAGCGGCAUCAUUUGACGUUAGCAACAGAAGAAGCACCGGCUAACUCCGUGCCAGCAGCCGCGGUAAUACGGAGGGUGCGAGCGUUAAUCGGAAUUACUGGGCGUAAAGCGCAUGCAGGUGGUUUGUUAAGUCAGAUGUGAAAGCCCGGGGCUCAACCUCGGAACUGCAUUUGAAACUGGCAGACUAGAGUACUGUAGAGGGGGUAGAAUUUCAGGUGUAGCGGUGAAAUGCGUAGAGAUCUGAAGGAAUACCGGUGGCGAAGGCGGCCCCCUGGACAGAUACUGACACUCAGAUGCGAAAGCGUGGGGAGCAAACAGGAUUAGAUACCCUUGUAGCACAGAG
rnacentral:rRNA from 1 species